UACAGAGGUGGCAAGCGUUGUUCGGAAUUACUGGGCGUAAAGGGCGCGUAGGCGGUCCUGUAAGUCUUGUGUGAAAUCCCUCGGCUUAACUGAGGAACUGCACGAGAUACUGCGAGACUUGAGUUCGGGAGAGGAAAGCGGAAUUCCGGGUGUAGCGGUGAAAUGCGUAGAUAUCCGGAGGAACACCGGUGGCGAAGGCGGCUUCCUGGACAACUACUGACGCUGAGACGCGAAAGCGUGGGGAGCAAACAGG
rnacentral:rRNA from 1 species